AGGCCUAACACAUGCAAGUCGAGCGGCAGCACGGGUACUUGUACCUGGUGGCGAGCGGCGGACGGGUGAGUAAUACCUAGGAAUCUGCCUGGUAGUGGGGGAUAACGUUCGGAAACGGACGCUAAUACCGCAUACGUCCUACGGGAGAAAGCAGGGGACCUUCGGGCCUUGCGCUAUCAGAUGAGCCUAGGUCGGAUUAGCUAGUUGGUGAGGUAAUGGCUCACCAAGGCUACGAUCCGUAACUGGUCUGAGAGGAUGAUCAGUCACACUGGAACUGAGACACGGUCCAGACUCCUACGGGAGGCAGCAGUGGGGAAUAUUGGACAAUGGGCGAAAGCCUGAUCCAGCCAUGCCGCGUGUGUGAAGAAGGUCUUCGGAUUGUAAAGCACUUUAAGUUGGGAGGAAGGGCAGUUACCUAAUACGUGAUUGUUUUGACGUUACCGACAGAAUAAGCACCGGCUAACUCUGUGCCAGCAGC
rnacentral:rRNA from 1 species